rnacentral:rRNA from 1 species
CAGGUUGAAGGUUGGGGAACACUAACUGGAGGACCGAACCCACUGUCGUUGAAAAGCCAGGGGAUGACUUGUGGAUAGGGGUGAAAGGCUAAUCAAACUCGGUGAUAGCUGGUUCUCCCCGAAAGCUAUUUAGGUAGCGCCUCGGACGAACACCAUUGGGGGUAGAGCACUGUUUCGGCUAGGGGGUCAUCCCGACUUACCAAACCGAUGCAAACUCCGAAUACCUACAAGUGCCGAGCAUGGGAGACACACGGCGGGUGCUAACGUCCGUCGUGAAAAGGGAAACAACCCAGACCGUCAGCUAAGGUCCCAAAGUCAUGGUUAAGUGGGAAACGAUGUGGGAAGGCUUAGACAGCUAGGAGGUUGGCUUAGAAGCAGCCAUCCUUUAAAGAAAGCGUAACAGCUCACUGGUCUAAAUAAGCCGUCCUGCGCCGAAGAUGUAUCGGGGCUCAAACUAUGUACCGAAGCUGAGGAUUCACACGUAAGUGUGAGUGGUAGCGGAGCGUUCCGU